GUAUCGUUAGCUUAAUUGGUAGAGCAUUGAUUUUGUAGUUCAGAGGUUGUGGGUCCGAGUCCCAUGCGAUACA
rnacentral:tRNA from 1 species